rnacentral:lncRNA from 1 species
UACAGGUGCACUUCACCAUGCCAGGCUAUCAUAAUGCCUUCUGCCACUGGCAUCCAUGGGCUAAAAUGUUCAGUUAGCAUGGGGAGAAGCUAAGGCAGCAGAAAAGAGAGCAUUGAAGAGGGGCUUUAUCAGGUCCCAUGGAAUCAGAGCCUGAACUGCAGACUCCUGUGAAGAGGGGAGUGAGGUGUUAUGGACCAGGCUACAUGGGCAAUGACCAAACAGACUCCGAGUUGCCCUGAGACGCCCUGUCAUGUUAAGAAAUGCUUCUCCCAUGGGAGCACCCCGCCUCUACCAUCAACAAUUGCUUAGCAUAGCAUGUUUGGCAACACAAAAUGGCAGUUGUUAUACAAUGUAAAGUUGCUCUCUUUUUGGAUCCCAUUUUUCUUGGACGAGGUACCCCAUUCGAGAAUGAUUAUCUAGAUGUUAGUAACCAUUCUUUAACUUGUACUCAAUUAGGGUCAUUUUUGACCCACUUCCUCUUCUGCUUACGAUUUUAGAUCUCAUGACAUUUGUUUAUGGUUUUGAAUCAUAGCAAUAGCCACUUAUGAUUAAUGUGGUUUUGGAUUAUAAAAGGUGUGCUCAAACCCCAACCCCAGGAGGGGGUCGAAGGGUGGAGACUUGCAGCCUGCCCUUUGACCUGCCAGCUGGUGACUCCAUGAUUUAUUGCCAUAACAGAGGGAUGGAGAUAAGAAAAAGCAGGAAGGGAGGGAAGUUACUCAGGGAUAUGAUUUAACUGAAGACUAGCUUCAUCUAAGUUGUAGAAUGUAUUGCCAUGAAAGAAUAAAAGAAAUUGAAGUUAAAAUGUAAAGGACCAGGUUUUGUAAAGUUUCCAAGCUGCACUCAGAGCCUGAAAUUCCUGUGGCAGUUAAGACAAUUCCCGGAACUGCCUGUUAGAUGUGUGUCAAAAUCUUCCCCUGACCACCUAGUUACUAAAUCACCCCUUCCCAGAAACCAUGCAGCUCAGCAC